GACGAACGCUGGCGGCGUGCUUAACACAUGCAAGUCGAACGGAGCUAUUUAUUUCGGUAGAUAGCUUAGUGGCAAACGGGUGAGUAACGCGUAGGCAACCUGCCCUCAGGAUGGGGACAACGGCUCGAAAGAGCCGCUAAUACCGAAUGACGUAACUUUUUCACAUGGAAGAGAUACUAAAGAUGGGUCAAACCAUCGCCUGAGGAUGGGCCUGCGUCUGAUUAGCCAGUUGGUGAGGUAACGGCUCACCAAAGCAACGAUCAGUAGCCGGUCUGAGAGGAUGAAACGGCCACAAUGGGACUGAGACACGGGCCCAUACUUCCUACCGGGAGGGCAAGCAGUGGGGGAAUCUUUCCCGCAAUGGGCGAAAAGCC
rnacentral:rRNA from 1 species